rnacentral:rRNA from 2 species
GAGCUAACGCGUUAAGUCGACCGCCUGGGGAGUACGGCCGCAAGGUUAAAACUCAAAUGAAUUGACGGGGGCCCGCACAAGCGGUGGAGCAUGUGGUUUAAUUCGAUGCAACGCGAAGAACCUUACCUGGUCUUGACAUCCACGGAAGUUUUCAGAGAUGAGAAUGUGCCUUCGGGAACCGUGAGACAGGUGCUGCAUGGCUGUCGUCAGCUCGUGUUGUGAAAUGUUGGGUUAAGUCCCGCAACGAGCGCAACCCUUAUCCUUUGUUGCCAGCGGUCCGGCCGGGAACUCAAAGGAGACUGCCAGUGAUAAACUGGAGGAAGGUGGGGAUGACGUCAAGUCAUCAUGGCCCUUACGACCAGGGCUACACACGUGCUACAAUGGCGCAUACAAAGAGAAGCGACCUCGCGAGAGCAAGCGGACCUCAUAAAGUGCGUCGUAGUCCGGAUUGGAGUCUGCAACUCGACUCCAUGAAGUCGGAAUCGCUAGUAAUCGUGGAUCAGAAUGCCACGGUGAAUACGUUCCCGGGCCUUGUACACACCGCCCGUCACACCAUGGGAGUGGGUUGCAAAAGAAGUAGGUAGCUUAACCUUCGGGAGGGCGCUUACCACUUUGUGAUUCAUGACUGGGGUGAAGUCGUAACAAGGUAACCGUAGGGGAACCUGCGGUUGGAUCAC